UUCUUUUACCCUGUUCAAGGUGUAUACACACUCAAUAUUUAACUACAGUCCAGGUUUGCAAUUAACAAACUAUCUGAUAAACCUGUGUGUGAGUCAGAUAUGUCUGCUGCUAAUCUAUUGGUUAUAAAAUAUCACAGCCUUUUCUGAUUGGCUGAGUUCAAAUACAGAAAGUUUACCUGUUAGAUUGAAAUUCUGGCGUAUUGUAGAAAAUGUGCAGGUUAAACUUGUUGUUAAAAUGAAGUUAAUGUAAUGUUCACAAACAGUAGAGUUAAUGAGUUUUUCCAUUAACAAGAAUGUCUUAAAAUAAUAAUGUAUGGAUAUCAUUUGGAAAGUGACAUGAAAUGUUGUUAAAAAGUGAUGCAUACAAGUGUUUCAGAAGUCUGUCUAGGAAUAGAACAACAACUGAAGCUGACCAGUUGAUGGAAGAUACUGCAGAGUUUGGCAGGGAAAUUACCCAAGACAGCAAAGCGGCUCUUUUGGCGCAUUUACCAAGAGGACUAACAUGGCCACAAAUUCAUGAGAUCAUGCAGGAGCCGUACAGUAUAACAGCAGUACAAGUUCUAUAAAAGAUCCACGACCUACUGAAGCCCAGCUAAUUAACAAAAAAGUUUUUAAAAACUGUAAUUUUAUCCCACCUAGGUACUUAUAAUUUACUAAGCUGCCUUCACAAGUUUUAGACUUGCAAUUAUAUUUUAAACUGUCACUUGGAAAGUAAUACAUGUACAUGCAUUAUGUUCUGAAUUUCUUUGAACAAUAAAAUUAUAUAAAAGUAUUUUAAUGAAAUUGAGCACCUAAAUUGCAUUAAAGUGAAGGUAGCUGAGAAAAAUAGUAUCCUUGUGCUCAUGGGCAGCUACAUAUAUUGUGACAAACAUGAAGUAGCUAAAAUAACUUAAAUUUUUCAUUUUGUUUCUUGUAUAUCGUUUGUACAGGGUUCGUGAAUUGUUACUGUAUAUUACUUGACUUGCUUGUAUUUUGUUACUUUGAAUACAUGUUGUUAAGGUUGCAUUAUACUUUUUUACUUUUAAAGUAGCGCCUGUUCUGUUAUGUAAGGGCCUGAUUUAUGAUAAUGGACCUAGAGGCUUUGUAAGCAUGUAUUAAACAACACUUGUUUGAUCUGAAUAAUUUGUUAAAUAAAUGUAACACAAUUUGUAAUCUGAUGUUAUAUUUUGAUGAAUUGUGAACAAAAUAAUACAUCAAAGAAACUAA